rnacentral:piRNA from 1 species
UGACUGAUGCGGGGAUGGAAUUUUGUUUC